UUGUAAUUAACAUGGAAUAAUAUGCAAGGAAUGCCACAUAGGCCACGUGUGAGACAACUAGUGUGGCUAUGGAGUCUUUUGGCUCAUGCUUCAAGUGUGGUGAAGAAGGACAUUUUGCUCGUGAAUGCUCAAGUUCAACUAAGGUUCGUAAGAGGAAUCUUGACUUCUCAACCCCCACUCAGAAAUUUUCCAAAGAUAACAGAGACUAUGUGCGAGUUGGAUCUGUACCUUCUGAUCCUGCCAAGGCUCACAAAAGGAGAAAAGGUCAAUGUGAAGGAGAAUUUACUACGCCAUCUAACUCAAAAUGGAGGGGUGGUUGGAUUACUGAAGAUCCUGGAGACUUACCCCAUGGAAAAGCCAAAGUGCAUGGAUGGGUAUCUCCUGCAACACCAACUAAUAUGAGGAAUAAGAGUUAUACUUCCAUAACUGGUGGUCACUCUUCAAGUUCUUAUUCUUCUAGAAAGACUCAAAAGUUUCAAUGUGAAGGAGAAUUUACUAUGCCAUCUAACUCAGAAUGGAGGGGUGGUUGGAUUACUGAAGAUCCUGGAGACUUACCCCGUGGAAAAGCCAAAGUGCAUGGAUGGGUAUCUCCUGCAACACCAACUAAUAUGAGGAAUAAGAGUUAUACUUCCAUAACUGGUGGUCACUCUUCAAGUUCUUAUUCUUCUAGAAAGACUGAAAAGUUUCAUUUUGGAGCUUCAGCUUCAAAUGGAUCCUCCAAAUUUAAUCAGCACAGAUAUUCAGCAUCAAGGUUUGGCAACUCUAGUAGUGACGGGAUGAGGAGAAACUAUGACUGGUAGCAGGAACAUUUUUUUCCCUUUCUUUCUUUUCAGUUGUAGUAAGGUUAGGAGGCAGGAACUGCAAAAAGAUGUAAAUUUGGAGGCUCAACAUUUGAGUUUUUAAACCUCUGAAUUGGAGCUGAUACACUACCAGAAGGGCGGUGUUUUAUGUUCUUUCUCUUAGAAAGUUGUCACUGUACAUUAUCGGUAGGGAAAUCCUAAACCCUGUACUUGGGAGCUUGAAUAUCUCCCGUCAUAUUUCAAGUUUAGUCAAAAUGCUUGCUUAAGUUUAUUAUUAUUAUUAUUAUUAUUUUGAGAAUGUUUCUUUGCUUCCUAAUAUGUUGAUGUUCGCUUUAAUGUUGAGGAUUGAUAGGUUUUUAGUCUACAUGGGAGGAUCUUCAUAUCAUAAUUAUGAUGGAAGUAUUGUAUUUUUGAAGAUCAGUUGAAAAAAAGGAAAGAAAGAAAGAAUGAUAGUUGGCUUACGAUUCUGGAUUGGUUGAUUUGGAUGUAUUCUUGGUAAUUUUUAAUAUAAAUCAUUCCUUCCUGUGUGGCA